CAGAUUACAAAAGCAUACCACUCAAAGGCCCUGAUUUGCCUCCCAGACAGGAACCUGGACAGUCCCAAAGCAGGCAGUUGCUAUUGUUCGGGUAUGGGGAUGGAUAAUUGACAGAGGAGAAUGAGCCUUUGGAUUUAGGCAACACAGAGCUACAGCAGUCUGAAGGGAAGAACCAACAACAGUGUUGAAGAUAAUGAAAACUGCACAAAAAUCUUCCAGAAACACCUAACAAGUCUCUCCAACCAUUUGCAUCAAGUCAAGCUUGUAAAAAAGAAAUGAACUAUAAUGCUUACAAUUGCGGUGAUGUUGCUAGUCUAAAAGUUAUUCAAAACCUGCAAGUGAAAUAAAGCUACUUAUCUGCUUCA